AGGACGAACGCUGGCGGCGCGCUUAACACAUGCAAGUCGAGCGAGAACCCAGGCUUCGGCCUGGGGGAAAGCGGCGAACGGGUGAGUAACACGUGGGUAAUCUGCCCUCGACAUCGGGAUAGCCCGGGGAAACCCGGAUUAAUACCGAAUAGCCCAACAGCUUUUCGGAGCGGUUGGAAAAGGUAGCUUUGGCCUCCGGUCGAGGAGGAGCUCGCGGCGGAUUAGCUUGUUGGUGAGGUAACGGCUCACCAAGGCGUCGAUCCGUAGCUGGUCUGAGAGGACGAUCAGCCACACUGGGACUGAGACACGGCCCAGACUCCUACGGGAGGCAGCAGUGGGGAAUCUUGCGCAAUGGGCGAAAGCCUGAUGCAGCAACGCCGCGUGCGGGAUGACGGCCUUCGGGUUGUAAACCGCUUUCAGUAGGGACGAAGCUAACGUGACGGUACCUACAGAAGAAGGACCGGCCAACUACGUGCCAGCAGCCGC
rnacentral:rRNA from 1 species